rnacentral:tRNA from 1 species
GAGGGUACAGCUCAGUGAUUAGAGUAGAUGCUUAGCAUGCACAAGGUCCUGGGUUCAAUCCCCAGUACCUCUA